rnacentral:rRNA from 1 species
AUUGAACGCUGGCGGCAGGCCUAACACAUGCAAGUCGAACGAGUGGCGGACGGGUGAGUAAUGUCUGGGAAACUGCCCGAUGGAGGGGGAUAACUACUGGCAACGGUAGCUAAUACCGCAUACCAUCGGAUGUGCCCAGAUGGGAUUAGCUAGUUGGUGGGGUAACGGCUCACCUAGGCGACGAUCCCUAGCUGGUCUGCGAGGAUGACCAGCCACACUGGAACUGAGACACGGUCCAGACUCCUACGGGAGGCAGCAGUGGGGAAUAUUGCACAAUGGGCGCAAGCCUGAUGCAGCCAUGCCGCGUGUAUGAAGAAGGCCUUCGGGUUGUAAAGUACUUUCAGCGGGGAGGCGUUACUCGCAGAAGAAGCACCGGCGAACUCCGUGCCAGCCGCCGCGGUAAUUC